GCAUGCCAACGCCUUAAUUUAAAAAAACAAAACAAAACACUUUGCCCAGAACUUUGUUUCUCACUCCUUUCCAAAAUAGUCACCAGCUGUUGUUAACCACAUGCCAUCUGGGUGCCCAGGUAAGGAGAAAGCCCUCCAGUGUUCAAUUAACUGUGGAUUAUUUUCUUUUCUUCGGCAGGAAAAGGAAAAAGAAAAAGAUAAGAUUAAGGAGAAGGAGAAAGAUUCUAAAGACAAGGAGAAAGAUAAGAAGACUGUCAACGGGCACACUUUCAGUUCCAUUCCUGUUGUGGGUCCCAUCAGCUGUAGCCAGUGUAUGAAGCCCUUCACCAACAAAGAUGCCUAUACUUGUGCAAAUUGCAGUGCUUUUGUCCACAAAGGCUGCCGAGAAAGUCUAGCCUCCUGUGCAAAGGUCAAAAUGAAGCAGCCCAAAGGGAGCCUUCAGGCACAUGACACAUCAUCACUGCCCACGGUCAUUAUGAGAAACAAGCCCUCACAGCCCAAGGAGCGUCCUCGGUCCGCAGUCCUCCUGGUGGAUGAAACCACUACCACCCCAAUAUUUGCCAAUAGACGAUCCCAGCAGAGUGUCUCACUCUCCAAAAGUGUCUCCAUACAGAACAUUACUGGAGUUGGCAAUGAUGAGAACAUGUCAAACACCUGGAAAUUCCUGUCUCAUUCAACAGACU
rnacentral:sRNA from 1 species